rfam:Triticum aestivum genome assembly, contig: Triticum_aestivum_CS42_TGACv1_scaffold_195192_3AL
AAGGUACUCCCUCCUUUCGGAAUUAUCUGUCUUGAAAAUGGAUGUAUCUAGAACUAAAAUACGUCCAGAUACAUCCAUUUCUGCGAUAAGUAAUUCCGAACGGAGGAAGUAGUAU